ensembl:lncRNA
CGCUGUGUUGUUAGAAGUGGACCUCUAAAGCUGUGGACUGCGGAAUACUGAGAGAGAGAGAGGGGAGCGAAGCCAGACCGGCCUGGCCCAACGCCACCCCGACUCUCCUCCAGGCUGCCAUUUUGGCUCUGCUGUGGUCGAGCCCGCAAAUCAAACCUGCAAUAUACUGGGGAACACAUCCAUUUAUGAAAAUAACCACUACAUUUGAAAAGUACCAGAUAAAACAAGCUUCCCCUUUUUUUUUUGUUUUUUUUUUUGCAUGUGCUGGCCUUACAAUCCAUUUCUGGAUCCUGGAUCGCCUUCUGUUUUUAUCCCCCCUUCUUUUCCCCUGGACAGAAAAUCCAAAAAUGUUUUAGUUUAAAACCAGAAACAGGCAGCCAAGAAAACAAAAGAAAUAUAAAUAAUCUCUGAGGCAGGUCUGUUACAAAUAGGUUGCUUUUUAUUGAACUGGAAUACAUAGUCUCCUGUACAGCGAGGGAGCUUAAGAGUCCUACAUGCAGCUCACGAGAAGAUUACACAUGCACAAAGAAUUACAUGACCAGAACAGAGAGGUGGACCGCACUAGCGGCCCUCUAUUGCUGAUAUACAGAGAAGCACAAAGCAACAAUGCUUGCCAAUUUGCCAUAGCCCACCCCUAUGGAGAGGGUGGUAGGGAGUAUGCAUUUUACAAACACUGCUUUAUUAAAAAAAUACAACCCAAAUACCAAUGUCAAACUCCCUUAUGUGAUUGGACAGGCCCACAUUUUUUUGUGUGCGUCUGGUAUACUUGGGUAAGAUAUGCCUGUGUGUGUGUGUGUGUGUGUGUGUGUGUGCACGUGCGUGUCUGUGUGUCUGUGUGUGUUUAUGGCACAGGCGGUGUCAUUUUUAAAUGAGAGUUCAUGCUAAAGUGUUUUGUUCUUUCCAUGCUUUGUAGUGUGUGGAUGUAGGGACAUACACACAUGCAUGUGUGACACCUGGAGUGUGUGUGUGUGUUUGUUUGUGUGUGUGUUUGUGUGUUAAGGCCUGAACAUCACUUUCUUUGGCAGCGCUCUUUUACACAGGACACUGUGAGCAAACCCUGAUUUCACUAACAAAGGGAUGGUUGGGCUGGGGACAGCCAGAGGGAGCGGGAAGUCUGAGUGGCUCCUGAACCGGGGCGAGUCUCCCCAAAGCACCGGCGUUUGACCACAGUAACUUAAGAGACAGUCUGUAUAAAAUGAUAGAGACUACUGUUUAAUGAUGGCCGUUGCACGAUGGUGCUUUCAGGAGACGCACCUCAGAACAGAUGAUGAGAGUCAAUACUAAGCAGGCAACUUCCAAUCACAUAGAUCAAUCAGUUGAUCAAUCAAUCACCCCAUCGAUCAUAUUCUCAUUCAGGCCUCUCACACACUCUACCUGGUCUGGGAACCCAAACACACCCGUAGGGUUUGAAAGAUCCCGUGCAUUCAAGAAUUACUCUCCAGGAGUGUAUUAAAGAGAAAGAAUGACAAAAAAAAUACAAUCUUAACAUUAAAAAGGGAAACAAAAUGCCAAAUAGCUCAAAGUAGGCCCACUUUACAAAAUUACAUGAUUUUUUUAAAUAAAACUUCUCCAGCACAGGUUCCAAAAUAAGACAUCUUUUUCGCUUUAAAAAACAUACAUCGUCAGAAAACGAUGGAUAAGUUGACUAAAUGAAAGACAAAAUCAAAUAUUUACCCUUUAUUCCAACACAACUGAACAUACCUGUUAAAACUGUAAACUGGAUAUCUUCUGGAAUGAUUUUGGCACAAAUAUUAGAAGGUCGAAGCACGGGACAGAUCAAAGCUCCGUGCUUUAAGAAAUGAUGACAAUUAGAAAAGAAAAAAAAAAAUUAGCACUUUUGUCGUCUGUACAAACUUAACAAAUCUGCAACUCCUCUCAAGGAGUCGUCCUGCAAUUGCUCCAAGCAAUUUAACUAAUUUCAUUUUGGCCAGUGCAAAAGAAAUACACAUACUAUAUACACACAUAUCUCAGAAGGCCAUACAUUCAGUAAAUAGGAAAAAAGUGUAAUAUACUUUUACACAAACAGAAAAGAAACGAGAGAUCGAGAGAGAGAAACAACAAACCCCUGUUAAGGAGAAAUAAAGGGGGCUUAAUUUUGAAUGGGAUUUAAGUGCUAGUUAAGUGCAGAUCAGUGACCCUGAGGUCCCCUGGCACUAUGCCCCUCCUUUCUUAAAGGGGCCAUUGAGGACACAUGCCAACUCAUCAUAUCAGGGUGUGAACGCCACGGGGCCUGUACAUUGCUAAGUAGCCUCCAUUCAGGAUUCAUUUUCUAAAAGGGGGGGUGUGUGUGUGUGUGUGUAUGUGUGUACGUGUGAGUGAAUGUAUGUGUGAAAGAGUGUGUGUUUGUGUGUUGGGUUGGCAGGUAAAUGUAGCAACGGAUCAAAUAACGAACAAACAACAACAACAACAACAACAACAACAAAAAGAGCUUGGAAUUCUAUCCCUGGCAAGUCGACUUAAAUAAAUGAGCUUAGAUAAACUCGGAUCGGAAAAAGUACUUGCACUUGCUUGAUAGCUGAAAUAGGUUCAGUAGAUUAUCAAGCUCAGCAGGCAACCAAAACUGCUUCACACUAAACACGGGGUCUCUACUCCACAUCAUUUGGUCAGCUCUUGCAGGUGGUGUUCUUGGAAACCACUCCUCUGAAAAUGUGCAGCCUAUAUAGCAGGAUAUAUUGGGGGGCAAGUAAGGUGAUGACAGGAUGAGUGCUAGGGGCUGGGGGGGGGGGGGGCAUACACAUGUGCGUGUAGGUGUGUUUGUGAGUGUGUGUAUUUAUUUGGGGGAGAGGGGUAAUAUACAGGUCCUUGCUGAAAGGGAAAACAGCCGUCUCACACGCGCACACGCACCCACAAACUUGACCUUUAAGGCACCCUUUUCAAGCCCUUCGCCUAAGAGGAAUCUCCAGCACAUAAAAACUACAGUUUCCGACAGCUGCACACUUCCUGGGAGCCCCCAGCCUCUCACUGCUUAAAGGGCUACCCCACCAUCUGAGGAGGAUGUAUCUAGCGUCGCGAACGGAAACGUGGCCCGGGGUCAACAAGGCAUGUCUGGGGACGGAGAUAGAGUGUGAGAGGCUUGCUGCCGUCCGUGUGUGUGCGUGUGUUUUCUCAGUCCCUUCUGUGCAGACGUGUCAGGCUCAGGAAGCUGCGCAUUAACUGCCAUUCAUUUAUAGCCACUGCACUUGGGCCCACUUGGCAGAUAGAGAGAGAGAGAGAAGGGAAGGGAAAGGAAGGGAGAGAAAAAGAAAGACAAACAGAAAAAAGGGAACCGGGAAAGAGAGAGAGAAAGAAGGAGAGCAAGCAAGUUCCAACAUGCAGAGGGCUGAUUCUGGCCAGUAGCACUGGCUGCUCGGUCCGGGUCAUUUCCGGCAGCCCUGUUUGGGGUUCGACGCGGCUGUCAAACUACCCCCCACCCCACCCCCCGCUAGGCCAGCCCAGGACGCGGCUGCCAAACUGCCCCCACUGCCUGGGAUGGACAUGCCUGCCAAACUGUCCAGCUUCCUCCUGUAUUUAUAACCCCAAAGAUCUCUCGGAAAAACAGGAUUGGCUCCAGCCUGAAACCUCUCAACUGCCAGCUGCCCGGGGGGGGGGGGGGGGGGGGGGAGUCAAACCCUGAUCGGAGUCUGGGUUGGGAUGGGCCGAAACCAUUGGAGAGACCAACACCGGUGGGUUUAGAAUGUUGUAGAAUAUUCCAUUGUUAAUGAACGCAUUCUUUGAUUAGAACUCCCCCUGCUGAAGGGUUAAGCAGCUAAGAGAAUUUGUUUAAUAAAAAAAACUUGUGGUCAUGGAGAUCAUGGAGCUCAGCAUGCAUUUGGGGGAGAAGAGGACAUUGGGGGGCGUUUGAGGGGGUCUUGGUAAGCGUGUGUGUGUCUGUGUGUGUCUUGAGUGAGGAGCGCUGAUGGAGAGUAGGAGUGGUGGUUCUAUCUCCUUGUGGUUCUCAGCUAAUUCAGUCAGAUGGUGGAAGGGCUGCACAUUUCUUGAUUGUGCACAGUUAGAGACUGGUGGACCUAACCCUCCCCAGCUGGACACAGUCUGUACGGGGUCAACUCCCAGAGCUGAAACAAGCUCAAAUAGACACUUCUAAAAACCUAACCUGGAACCUCUUUAAAGUGGUUCAGAGAUAUUGUCCAAUGAAAAGUGGAUCAAAGAAAACAUAAAAAGAGAUCAUCCCAUCAUCAUGUUCUCAUCUGAAGUUCCUGUUGCUACCCACCCCAUGUGACACCACUGUUCACUGUUCUGAGGACACACACAGGGGGGUAUAUUUAGCAACAGGUUGAUGGGAGACGGUCCAGUCUAAACUGCAAACACCGCAAGGAACUAAACUGGUACGCUGUGAGGAGCAGGAUGGACAUUUCUGAAAGAGGGAGUGUGCGCGCAUGCGUGUGAGUGUGUGUGUGUGCGUGUAGGUUACAAGUAAAGCAUGUGAAGGAUGAACAGAUCGAAAUACUGGAAGAAAAUCGUGAAAACUCAAGGAGCUGAAGUUACACUACGUGUGUGUGUGUGUGUGUGUGUGUGUGUGUGUGUGGAGGGAACAUGCGGUGGAUAGAGCAUGGCUACCUGCUUGACUGCUUACUUGGCUGACACCUGAUACGUUCCCCAGAUCUCUUAACACUUUUAACAAACUAAAAGGGCACCUAUGGCUGGGAUGAACUCUCUCUCACAGACAGACAGAGAGAGAGAGACAGACAGAGAGACAGACAGAGAGACAAACAGACAGACAGACACACACACCAUACCAUCAAUCUCUCUGAAUCGCAACACAAAAGUGAAAAUGGAAAACAUCUCUACAUACAUGGAAUAACAUCAGGUACAAAAUCAGGGUUUAAAAAAAAAAAGAGGAGUUGUUGACAGGUGGAGCUCAGGCUAAAAGAGUACAGAGAUGACCCCCCUCCCCAACACAUAUACACACACACAACCUUCUUGCAUGAAACACUUUAGAGAGGCCCGUCCGGAGCAACUCUGUUCAAGGCAGUGACCGGCCUGUCUGAUGCCAUAGUCACUGCUCAUUUUAAUUAACCUAUUGGCUGCAACUGAUCAUACUGUUAAGGAUCUUGCACUUUUGUCAAACCCAUGUCAAAUAUCAACAUCAUCAUCUCCACAUAAAAGGUGUCAUAGCCCUGUGACAGACCAAUGGACCUGCAUGGGAGGAUGAAAUACAACAAAGAGAUACAGAGGAAACAAAUAAAAAAUAAAAAACGUUAGAUACUUGUCGAUUCGCACUGCGAACCCAGUCACAUCUGCACUGACUCAGUCUCCACCCAAACUUGGACUUCCUUCCUGUGGCCCGCCACGCCCCCCUGUGGGGAUAAUGAGCCGUGGAUGGGGGAAAGUCCGCUCUCAGCCGUCUGUGCAAAGUUUUGCGAGAGAGAAAAACAAAAACAAACAAAUACAAAUCCAGUUCACAUCCUGCAGCAGCACCUAAGCACUCGUCACGGCCCGGAUUCCAGUCUCAGCUCUUUAGUCUUGGCACGGGCCGAGUGGAGCCACCCGUCCUCAAAGCAAGCUCUGAGACUGCAGCCCUGCAGACUCUGGACCGAAAUCUCCACCGGAUCUGGGCCGUAUCCAGACCAGACCCGAGCCCGACGCGCGCCAGAGUCUGCCACCGUCUGGUGAAGAGGGCCACGCUGUGGAGACAGCUCCACUGGCGGGUGAGGAGGAGAAGAGGUGGGUGUGCAGUUAGAGACCUGACGCCAACGCCACCUCCCCCCUUUCUGCAGAGAUUAGCUGGAGGGUGGUCUCCAACACGGAGCCAGUGGCUUCCAUCUUUUCUCUUUUGUUCCAUCUUUAAUAUCUCAGUAUUUGUCUCAGAUUUGGGGACAGAGAGACAGGAGAGGAGAGAGAAGCCAAUAGCGGACGUCUACAGCCAUUUAGAGAUGCAACCAAGGACUGAACUACAGAUCUCCUCCUCCCCCCCUCCCCCCCUCCCAUGGCAAAAGAAAAGAAAGAAACAGAGGAUGAGCAUGAAAACAUAGCUACAGACCGUGACCCUCGAACUGGAUUGACCGUGAAUAGGACACAUCGUGGGUGUGCGAUGGCGCAAAAACACCGUGCCCCUUCAGGGUUGCCACAUCAUGAUCCAUCUGCACGAUUACGGGAGAUCCAAGGUCUUUUCAGCUACGUCACCAACGCUGUGCCUGACUUUAGAGCCUAAUUAGAGAUCAUGGAAAUGCCAGCACUUUCCUUACCGUGGAAAUAUGACACUUUUAAUUUGUAUAAUAUGGUGACUUACCAAACGCGGCAAAGUGGCAAUUCUAAACGGCUGGUGAAAUUACAGGCAAACCUUUAAGUUUCGCCUGAGUUUCAUUUCAAACUGAGAUGUGUUGGGGUUUCUGGUUUUACGUGUCGACACGGUAAUUAAUGAGCGGGAAAACCCGGGCAUAUGGUUGCUUGCAUUGGCGACGGAUCUAGACUUGGCCCCCAGAUUGAGUUUUACUCAGGCCUGUCUGAAAACCUCUGUGCAUUUGGAGACGUGUUGAGGCAAAGGGACACCGCAGGGUCAAAUAAAAAAAAGAAAUGACCCCCAGGUGCCUAUCUGCCCCCUUAGGGUGUACAGCUAAACAAAACAAACCAAACUAGAAAGAGGAACUGGAUUAACGUGGGGUGUGACCCAAAUGAAUGAGACAUGAUUAAAACCAUAUGAAUUAGCCUGGAGUGUCCCUAAAAUGCUCCUAAUCCAUCUGAUGGCCUGGGAGGAUAAUCCACUGCUAGUGUCGGUGUCAGGAGUCCAUCACCAUCAAUCAGCUCUCACUUCAGGUGCAGUGUGAGGUCAACCAUGACCAUCAUCCUCGUGGCAGGGAUGGCCUCGUGGCACACACACACACACACACACACACACACACACACACACACACACAAACACACCUUUCCCACCCAUCACAUGUGAGGAGUCCCAUGUAUCUGUCCUCUUCAGGAAGCAGAGGGGCUGUGUAGAAGGGCCGUGCAAGUUGGCUGAUGUCCAUCUGUGGUAGUGUGGAACGGCCGGUGCAGGAGGAAGAUGGCGAGGAGGUGAGGGGGAGGAAGAGGUGCUGAAGCUGGUCAAACACUCACAAGACAGUUAAAGCAGGGGCUUGUGCCUCUAUGAAUAACUUAAUGCAGAGGGCGUGUGUGUGUUUUUCUUCUGUUUUUUUUUUCUUCUUUUUUCUUUUUCUUUUUUUUUGAAGAGAGCCACUGAUGUUUUCCAAAGGGUGCGCUUGAGGUUCACUCCCAGCAUAUGAGGGCCUGUUCUGAAAGAGACAGAUCUGAGAGAGAGAGAGAGAGAGAGAGAGAGAGAGAGAAAAAUAGAAAGAAAGACAGACAGAAGGGGAGAGAGACAGACAAAGAGUGAGCAAAACAGAGAUACGAUGGGACAAGGGAAGCAAGACAGGGAGAGUGAAAUAUAGAGACAGAGAGAGGGAAAGAGAGAGACGGGAAAAGAGAGGGGGAGAGAGGGAGAGAGAGCGAUAGUCAGAAACUUGCUCUGCGGU